GGAGGGGUAGCAAAGCAUGGCUAACUGCACCUGACUGUAGAUCAGAUCUCUUUUGAGUUCGGGGGUUCGAAUCCCUCCCCCUCCA
rnacentral:tRNA from 1 species